GUGCUCGCUUCAGCAGCACAUGUACUAAAGCUGGAACAAUACAGAGAACAUUAGCAUGACCCCUGUGCAAGGAUGACAGGCAAAUUCAUGAAGCGUUCCAUAACAAA